GAGACUGUAAUAAUACUUAAGAUAAAACUACUUGAAAUAAACUGGUACUUAGUCUUCAAACAAGGGAGAAGUCUGGCAAAUGACGCUUUUCAGAAUAACCUGGUCCAACACCAUGAUCUAAACAUAAAACAAAUAAGAGUAUCUUGGGCUUUAGUGAGGACAGCCAGAGUCUCCCUAGUUUCUCCAAAAAACCAACCAAAGAAAAACUUAAGAAUGGAAGGAAACCACACUGCAAAAAACCAAACAAGCUAUUUUUAAGGGAAAGUGACCCAUAUUAAAUUGGUAUAAAUCAACAUGUGUAAAGGAGACUCCGCCAGAAAACAAUGCGAAUCUUUGCCAUUCUAAAGUACUCACAAAUUCCCAGCAUCGUACCAUGUAUAAAACAAAAAGAAAACAGCUCAUCUGUAAUUCACUCCAGUACAGGAGAAUAAACACCAUGGGCUUGGAUGGUUCUGAAUUUGAAGCCUGCCUCUGACAUUUACUAGUUUAUUGAAUUUGAACAAUUUCUUAACAUCCUUCAUUUUCAACUGUCUCACUGACAAAGCAGACAUAGUCAUUGUGUUUGUAUCUUGUGGGGUUGUUUCAAAAGUUAAAUAUAAGUUGGCAUAUAAAACUUUUAAUAGUCAAACUCAGUAAGUGCUUGAUAAAUGGCAGGUAUUAGCAUGAGUCCAGGAAAUACCACCAAAACAAAUGCCAUUUGAAAUAAAAAAAUAAAUCUAUCUACCUAUCUAUUUGCCUGGUCAUCCACUCUCUCUCGUCAGGAAACAGGAGUAAUACAUGCAGGGUUCAUGUCAGAGAAGGGCUUCCAACACAUGGAGAUCAUCUCCAAAAUUUCAUUUACUCAUUAAAAUGUGAGCCUGUAAGCUUCACAAUGGCAGGGACCAGCACAUAAGAGGUGCUCAAUAAAGAUACUUAUUCACUUAUAAACACACAAGUACUUAUGUUCCAGGUACUAUGCUAGGCAUGGGGGACUAUAUAUAAACACAUCCACAAGCAUUUAUUUACUCUCAACAACGCUCUUCCUUUUACACCAACCCUGUUAGUUUUAUCAGUUUCAUGUUCAUCUGUAAGAGAGCCCCUGCUCCCACAGCUCUCCACUCCUGCACCACGCUCCUGCACAGUGCCCCUCAGCACUGAUUCCGGCAUUUCCUCCAACAGAUCCCGCCCCCUCCACCAAAGCAGGUCGCCAAACUCAUCCGUUAAGCCUCCCCUCCCUUACCAGGGUCCCAUACUGACUGUGCACUGUCCCAUUCUUUCAUUGCACACACCUAGCAAAGCCUACCAUUACAGGAGAAAGUCCCAUACUAGGGCAGGCUGAUGCCAACCUCAACAUGAGCUGGCACACCCACUACUGCGGUCCUCCACUUUCUAGCUGGAUUCCUACUCCAGCCAAUCCCUGAAUCUUCACACCUGACUCCAUCCCUGCCGCCUUCGAAAACCUGCCUGAUCGAUUCUCCUAGCUUCCUCCUAUAGCAUUUCUCUUCCUGACUUUAUCCUUUCAGUGCUCAAAUGUCUCAUCUUCUAACAAAUCUUUCUGUCCUCUGUUCUUUUUCUUGAAGCGCUUCUGUCUUGCUGAGAGACGCUGUACAUCUUUCUGAGGUCUCAACCAAAAAAAAUCUUACAGAAGCACUCUUGAUCUGAUCUUUAUUUUGAGGCCAUUUUUCCUACACCCUGGGAACUGAAAAGAAUCUAAAGUUUUGUUUAUUUAUUUCCUUUUGCCUGCAGUGGGUCUUCUCUGCUAGGUUUGGGCUUUCUCAAGCUGCGGUGUGUGGGCUUCUCACUGCAGUGACUUCUCUUGUUGUGGAGCACAGUCUCUAGGAUGUGGGCUUAGUCGCCCCGUGGAAUAUGGAACCUUCCCCAAGCAAGGAUCAAACCCAUGUUCCCUAUACUGGCAGGUGGAUUCCCAACCACUGGACUACCAGAGAUAAGCACCGGGGAGAGGAUAUUCCACAACAGAGAAGAAAAAUAAAUAAAAGCACAGUCUUCUGGGGAACAGGGAAGCAAGUCAUCUAGCUGAGUUCAUGAUGGGAAAAAUACAAAAUGAAAUUGGAAGGGAAGAGUAAGAUCAGAAACACUAAGAGCGCUGACUACAACAUUGCAAACUCUGUAAUUUAUGCUCUCUAUUGCUGGUUUCUGCUUGCUGACCCAAACGCUACUGUACCAGACACACCUGGAGAGCUCUAUUAAUGCACAGCCUCACCCUAGAGACUUUGAAAGGCUGGAGCAGAAUCUGCAUCUAAUCAAAGAAAGCUCCAGGUGAUUCUCAGACACAGCCACGCCUAGCAGCCACUGCUCCAGGCGACGGUCAACCAUUGACUGUUUGAAAACGGGAGUGUCAUGAAUGCAGAAGCCUUGUGAGGUAUUCAGUUACAAGCUUGAAUAAUAAAGAUCUGUAUUUUCAUUUAUAAUUUUCUAUUUCCAUUUAUUCAUAUCAUUUCCCUAAGAGACCUACUUCCCUGGAUCCACGUGUUCUCUGCCCACAUACAUCCAUAAAACCCUAUUCAUAUCACAGUCUCACCUUACCAAGUAACAAUAAUUUUCUGUUUGGUUGUCUUGUUAAGAAAGAUGAGCCUUCUUAUUUGAAGGCAAAGACCUCAGAGAAGUUAGAAUACAUUGUUACUAUGUAAUGUAGGUGUGGAAUAAUAAGGACCUGACCUAAGAUGACGAUAGUUAAGAAGGAAAAUGAAAAUAAAGACCAAAGCUGUGACAGUCUAACACUUCUAGAAGAAAUUACAAAAAAAGUUCUUUGAAACUUUUGGAUAGACAAGGAUUUCUUUAACUGGGGGUGGGGGUGGGGGUGGGGAGCUUGAGUCAUGGGGAAAACCUGAUAAAUUGAAUUUCAUCAAAAUUAAAAACAUCUGUUCUUUGCAAGAAGUCAUUUAGACAAUGAAAAGGCAUGCCAAGGCUGGAAGAAAGUAUAAUGUAUACAGUUAGCAAAGGAGGAUGCUGAAAUAUAUUUUUAAAACUCUUAAAAUUCAGUAAGACAAGCAAGCAAGCCAAAUUUUUAAAUGGGCAAAAAUUCUAAUCUGACACUUCAGAUAUACAAGUGGCCAACGAGCAUAUGAAAAGAUGUUCCACGCUUAGUCAACAGGGAAAUGCAAAUUAAAAUCACAAUGUGAUAUUACUAUACACCCACUAGAAUGGCUAAAAUAAAAAAUACCAAGGAUAUAAAGCAACAGAAAUCCUCAUACACUGCUGAGAGAAAUGUAAAAUGGUAUAACUACUUUGGAAAACAGGCCACUUCUAUAAAGUAAAACACACUUAUAUGAUUUCAUAACUGUACUCCUACAUAUUACUCAAAAGAAAGGAAAAAAAUUAAACUUCACAUAAAGCAUUCACGACACAGAUAAUCACGAUGGUGUGAUCACUCACCUAGAGCCAGAC
rnacentral:lncRNA from 1 species